rfam:Canis lupus familiaris chromosome 12, whole genome shotgun sequence.
AGGAGCUACAGCCCUAGUGGCGGGGCCAGCUCUGGAAACCUGGAUUCAGCUCUGGCAGGAACUCCGGAGCUCUCCGUCUGCCGGGCCUGGAGGCUCCGGGGCGGG